rnacentral:snRNA from 1 species
GUACUCGAUUAGGAGGUACAUAUACUAAAAUUGGAACGAUACAGAGAAGAUUAGCAUGGGCCCUGCGCAUAUUUUUUAAAGAAGAUUUUAAAUUGGGA